GCCGGCCCCGCCCCGCGGAGGAAGGGCCGCGGGAAGCAGGAAGCGCCGGCCCGGCAGCGCAGCGCCGAGCUGUCGGCCCUCGGGCCGCACAGAGCCUCAGCAGCCCCGCUCAGGGGCACGCUGUCCUCCCUCAGCACAGCCCGUAGCCAGCUGCUGGGCCUGCAGCUCCUGCUGGCAGGGUAGGAUCACCCCCUUAAGCCCAAGAACCAAAGACACCACUGCAGCUUCAGGCCCGAAAACUAUAAACAGCAGCAAAUUGAGGAGAGCAGUCGGGGGGUUGGUACUUCAUAACCCGAAGAUGUAAUUGGACAAUUAACCCCAAUGCGUAAAUGGACCAAAACUUAUAAAAGUGUGGAAACUCGU